rnacentral:rRNA from 1 species
ACUCCUACGGGAGGCAGCAGUGGGAAUAUUGCACAAUGGGCGCAAGCCUGAUGCAGCCAUGCCGCGUGUGUGAAGAAGGCCUUCGGGUUGUAAAGCACUUUCAGUUGUGAGGAAAGGUUAGUCGCUAAUAAUCGGCUGAGCUGUUGACGUUAGCAACAGAAGAAGCACCGGCUAACUCCGUGCCAGCAGCCGCGGUAAUACGGAGGGUGCGAGCGUUAAUCGGAAUUACUGGGCGUAAAGCGCGUGUAGGUGGCUUGUUAAGCCAGAUGUGAAAGCCCCGGGCUCAACCUGGAACUGCAUUUGGAACUGGCAGGCUAGAGUUUUGUAGAGGGUGUAGAAUUUCAGGUGUAGCGGUGAAAUGCAGUAGAGA